UUGAUUUAAAGAUCAGCUUUUUUUUCAUGGAUGAGGUGUUGAUCUAGGGACCAGGGCUUGGCAGUGGGCUCCUGCUGACUGGUCUUUGGCAGGAUGUUUGGCCCUAAUUCUAUUCAUGCAUUGGGUAUUCAGCUGUUUAAAACCCUUUUGGUGCUCUCUUUUCCUUAGGAAUUGCCACUGAGCAAGAUCUGGAUUUAUUUAUUUUCUAAUAAAUGAUAAAGGAGGUGAUGCAGAAUGUCAGCUCACUGUCACAGUAACGCCAGUCUAUGGAUGCCGCCUGCAUUCAGUGGUGAUCAGGACAACUCCUGUGAGAAGUCGUAGGCAGAUUUGGGUUCAAAUGGUUUUACAUUGGUUUAGUGAGUGCUAAUUACAUUGCCAGGUAAUACCUAUUUGCACAAAAAAAUCACAUUUAUUCCACUGGCUUGAUGCUAAAGUAGUGAAAACUGAGUGAAGGAUAAAUCUAACUUUUGCCUUGGGUAUUUUAUUGAAGUAAAUAUAUUAAGGUAACACUUGUGAUUCCCAAAGCGAAAACCUUAAGCAAUGAGUUGCUUAAAGCAGCUCUUAGAAUUUAUUACUAAUGCCUCCACACCUACAAAAGUUCAGCUGUAUUAUGUCCCAGCACUUUUUUGGUUGCUUUUUUUUUUUUUUUUUUAUCAUUAACAUUAAUCACACACUCAAUAUUUAAUAUUAAUUAGCACGGCUUGUAUAUUUACCUUCCCUUUGUGCUUGCCCCUGUAGUGCAGAGGCGCAGCGCAUCCUUCCCCAGCUGCCAGCCAGGCAGCAGGAGCCAAGUGCAUUAGCAGCCCCCGGGGACAGGAACCCCCAGGAGUUCCCCAGACCCCACAUCUCAGAACCUUCCUGGGGAAGCAGAAGGCCCAGCAGCAGGCACCGGGUGCCUUCAGCUCAUUUCACUCAGCAGCCAAAGCAGCCCAACACGAGGCAUCGUUGUUCUUCAGACAGCAGAGAAAUUAUAGACCUACAGACCUGUGCCAGGUGGUGCUGCCCUGGGCAAUGUGGGGCACCCACAGCCAGGACCGAAGCUGCUGCCCCUGCUCCAAAGACGGUGCUGCAAGAAUCACUAUUGACAGAGACUUCUGCAAACCACCCAAAAGCCCAAUUGAGAUGUCUGUUAUAAACACAGUUCAAACAACAUCGCACAAGAAAUGUUAUAAAUAUUUUAAAAUGGCUUCUUAA
rnacentral:lncRNA from 1 species